UACGAAGGGGGCUAGCGUUGUUCGGAAUCACUGGGCGUAAAGCGCACGUAGGCGGAUUGUUAAGUCGGGGGUGAAAUCCCUCGGCUCAACCAAGGAAGUGCAUCCGAAACUGCUGAGCUUGAGUACGAAAGAGGAUCGCGGAAUUCCCGGUGUAGAGGUGAAAUUCGUAGAUAUCGGGAGGAACACCAGUGGCGAAGGCGGCGAUCUGGGUCGAUACUGACGCUGAGGUGCGAAAGCGUGGGGAGCAAACAGG
rnacentral:rRNA from 1 species